AUUGAACGCUGGCGGCAGGCCUAACACAUGCAAGUAGAACGAGUGGCGGAAGGGUGAGUAAUGUAUGGGAAACUGCCUGAUGGAGGGGGAUAACUACUGGAAACGGUAGCUAAUACCGAAUACCAGAGGAUGUGCCCAGAUGGGAUUAGCUAGUAGGUGGGGUAAAGGCUCACCUAGGCGACGCUCCCUAGCUGGUCUGAGAGGCUGACCAGCCACACUGGAACGGAUACACGGUCCAGACUCCUACGGGAGGCAGCAGUGGGGAAUAUUGCCCAAUGGGCGCAAGCCUGAUGCAGCCAUGCCGCGUGUAUGAAGAAGGCCUUCGGGUUGUAAAGUACUUUCAGCGGGGAGGCGUUACCCGCAGAAGAAGCACCGGCUAACUCCGUGCCAGCAGCCGCGGUAAUAC
rnacentral:rRNA from 1 species